GACGAACGCUGGCGGCGUGCUUAACACAUGCAAGUCGAACGGAAAGGCCCUGCUUUUGUGGGGUGCUCGAGUGGCGAACGGGUGAGUAACACGUGAGUAACCUGCCCUUGACUUUGGGAUAACUUCAGGAAACUGGGGCUAAUACCGGAUAGGAUCUCCUGCUGCAUGGUGGGGGUUGGAAAGUUUCGGCGGUUGGGGAUGGACUCGCGGCUUAUCAACUUGUUGGUGGGGUAGUGGCUUACCAAGGCUUUGACGGGUAGCCGGCCUGAGAGGGUGACCGGCCACAUUGGGACUGAGAUACGGCCCAGACUCCGACGGGAGGCAGCAGUGGGGAAUAUUGCACAAUGGGCGGAAGCCUGAUGCAGCAACGCCGCGUGCGGGAUGACGGCCUUCGGGUUGUAAACCGCUUUCGCCUGUGACGAAGCGUGAGUGACGGUAAUGGGUAAAGAAGCACCGGCUAACUACGUG
rnacentral:rRNA from 1 species